UGAUAGAAUUGAUUUCUAAAUCCAUUUUUACUACAGAAAGAACCAAUAACCAGAUAAAGUGUAAGAGCUCCACCACACACAUGAGAAUGAUAAAAUAAGAAAUAUUAUCACUGCCUUUGUUACUAAAUGUGAAUUGUUUGGAGUUUAACGCUGCAUAUCUAGCAACUGAUAACUUAUAGUGCAGAGUUUGGAGGCAUGAUCACGGGCAGUUGUUAGCUAGCAGGAAAAUAAUUCUCAAGAAUGCUGAAGGAAGAGUUAGACAUUAUUUUGCGACUCUCUUUUUGUGUAUAUUGAAUGAUGAGGUGUAUGUACUAUGAUCCUCGUGAAGUAUUAUGUCUUGUCUACUUCAUGUUAUGGCUUUUGUUGAUGAAAAAAAUUUAUAUAUGCAUUUUGUUAAGUGGAUAGUAUAUAGUCGCCACUAUUAUAUACAGUUAUUGUGGCAACUUUAAUACUUUUCUGUGGCGACUUUGGUCACCACCAAAUAUCAGAUUUCUUGUAGUGUCGA